CCGUGAUAAAGUAGCAUAAUCAUUUGUCAUUUAAUUGGUGACUAGAAUGAAUGGUUAAACGAAUCUCUAGCUGUCUCAACAAGAAAUAAAACAAAAUUAAAAUUACAGUGAAGAUGCUGUAAAUAAAUUGCAAGACGAAAAGACCCUAUUGAGCUUUACUGGAUGUUUGUAAAUUUUUCAUAUCAUAAUACUAUAAAUGAUGUAUAAGGCAAGCAAGACAGUUUGGUUGGGGCGACCACCUCUAAAAUAGUAACAGAGGAGAUCUAAAGGUUAAACUUAUGAACACUAACUUUACUGAAAUAAUAAUAAUUUAAUCAGUUACUAAUUAAGUAGGACAUAAUGACCCGCUAUUUUUUAUGUAAAAAAUAACGAUUACAGAAUAAGUUACCAUAGGGAUAACAGGGUAAUAGUUUUCAAGAGUUCAUAUCGACGAAACU
rnacentral:rRNA from 1 species